rnacentral:rRNA from 1 species
GAUGAACGCUGGCGGCGUGCCUAAUACAUGCAAGUCGAGCGAACAGACGAGAGUGCUUGCACUCUCUGACGUUAGCGGCGGACGGGUGAGUAACACGUGGGUAACCUACCUAUAAGACUGGGAUAACUUCGGGAAACCGGAGCUAAUACCGGAUAAUAUUUAGCUUCGCAUGAAGCAAUAGUGAAAGACGGUUCUGCUGUCACUUAUAGAUGGACCCGCGGUGUAUUAGCUGGUUGGUGAGGUAACGGCUCACCAAGGCAACGAUACAUAGCCGACCUGAGAGGGUGAUCGGCCACACUGGGACUGAGACACGGCCCAGACUCCUACGGGAGGCAGCAGUAGGGAAUCUUCCGCAAUGGACGAAAGUCUGACGGAGCAAUGCCGCGUGAGUGAAGAAGGUUUUCGGAUCGUAAAACUCUGUUGUAAGGGAAGAACAAGUACGUUAGUAACUGAACGUACCUUGACGGUACCUAACCAGAAAGCCACGGCUAACUACGUG